rnacentral:rRNA from 1 species
UGGGGAAUAUUGGACAAUGGGCGCAAGCCUGAUCCAGCCAUGCCGCGUGAGUGAUGAAGGCCUUAGGGUUGUAAAGCUCUUUCGCGCGCGACGAUAAUGACGGUAGCGCGAGAAGAAGCCCCGGCUAACUUCGUGCCAGCAGCCGCGGUAAUACGAAGGGGGCUAGCGUUGUUCGGAAUCACUGGGCGUAAAGCGUAUGCAGGCGGAUCGUUAAGUCGGGGGUGAAAUCCCGAGGCUCAACCUCGGAACUGCCUUCGAUACUGGCGAUCUUGAGUCCGGGAGAGGUGAGUGGAACUGCGAGUGUAGAGGUGAAAUUCGUAGAUAUUCGCAAGAACACCAGUGGCGAAGGCGGCUCACUGGCCCGGUACUGACGCUCAGGUGCGAAAGCGUGGGGAGCAAACA